rnacentral:rRNA from 2 species
CYCWGUCUUUCMGAGAUGGAUUGGUGCCUUCGGGAACUCUGAGACAGGUGCUGCAUGGCUGUCGUCAGCUCGUGAUGKGAAAUGUUGGGUUAAGUCCCGCAACGAGCGCAACCCUUAUCCUUUGUUGCCAGCGGUYCGGCCGGGAACUCAAAGGAGACUGCCAGUGAUAAACUGGAGGAAGGUGGGGAUGACGUCAAGUCAUCAUGGCCCUUACGAGUAGGGCUACACACGUGCUACAAUGGCGCAUACAAAGAGAAGCGACCUCGCGAGAGCAAGCGGACCUCAUAAAGUGCGUCGUAGUCCGGAUUGGAGUCUGCAACUCGACUCCAUGAAGUCGGAAUCGCUAGUAAUCGUAGAUCAGAAUGCUACGGUGAAUACGUUCCCGGGUCUUGUACACACCGA